GUGACUCAACAAAAAAGCAGGGUUUGAGGAGAGGGACAAGUUAAAGAUUAAUACUAGGAAGACAAAAGUCAUAAGCAAAAGCAAAGUUCUUAAUCCUAAAGAAGGAAUUAAAAGAGGAUAGGGAGAAAAAAAAAUCUAGAAUCUAAGGGGAUAGCUUAGAGUGCCUCUUAGGCAAAUGGAGAAUGGCUGAACAAAUUGUGAUAUAAAAAUAUUUCUUCAUGUCUAAGAGAACCACGACAUCAUAGAGGUGAUGCCGUGAUAUGCAAGUGAAUUGGAUUUAAGUGAAGGAGAGCUGUGCAAAGUCAUCAGCCUCACUUUUUCCUCCAGAGCCAUCUGGGUCCAGUACUAGAUACACAUCAGGAUGACUGGAGAUGGCCCCAGAUGAUGUGGAAGAUCUUGGCCUUUUAAAGGUUCUGCUUUUGACUUUCUGGAAUUUGCCACCAUGAUUCCUUUGCCUAGAACUUCUCUCAGAACCUGAGGCCUCCUCACCUUGGAACAUCCCUCCCCCUUUGUGGCCUCUUCAUGCUGGAGCAUCUUUCCUUUGUUGUAACCAUCAGUUCCCUCUCAGCCAUGUCUGUUCUCCUUCUCCCCCUGAUGAGCUCCCCCUAGGGCCUCCUCCUGCAUGAGGACCUUCUCUCCUUCCCUGCCCUUUCCCCCUCCCUUUUUGUGUAUUGUCUUCCUCUGUCAGAUUGUAAGGUCCUUGAAGGCAGAAACUGUUUUUUCUUUUUGCUUACACUUCUAUCAAUCCUCAGUGCUCAAAAAAGUAUCUGCAUACAGUAAGUACUUAAUAAAAGCUUCCUGCCUUGCCUUGCCUUGUGGAUUUCA